rnacentral:tRNA from 1 species
CUGCGUGUAGCUCAAUGGGUAGAGCACCCGGCUUGGGACCGGGAGGUUGCUGGUUCAAGUCCAGCCAGGCAGG